rnacentral:rRNA from 1 species
UAGGGAAUCUUCGGCAAUGGACGAAAGUCUGACCGAGCAACGCCGCGUGUGUGAAGAAGGUUUUCGGUUCGUAAAACUCUGUUGUUAGAGAAGAACAAGGACGUUAGUAACUGAACGUCCCCUGACGGUAUCUAACCAGAAAGCCACGGCUAACUACGUGUCAGCAGCCGCGGUAAUACGUAGGUGGCAAGCGUUGUGCGGAUUUAUUGGGCGUAAAGCGAGCGCAGGCGGUUUCUUAAGUCUGAUGUGAAAGCCCCCGGCUCAAUCGGGGAGGGUCAUUGGAAACUGGGUGACUUGAGGGCGGAAGAGGAGAGAGGAAGUCCAUGUGUAGCAGUGAAAUGCGUAGAUAUAUGGAGGAACGCCUGUGGCGAAGGCUGCUCUCUGAUCUGUAACAGACGCUUGGGCACGAAAGCGUGGGGAGCAAACAGG